GACGUAGGGCGCGAGCGUUGUCCGGAUUUAUUGGGCGUAAAGAGCUCGUAGGCGGCUUGUCGCGUCGACUGUGAAAUCCCGCGGCUCAACUGCGGGUCUGCAGUCGAUACGGGCAGGCUAGAGUUCGGUAGGGGGGAGCUGGAAUUCCUGGUGUAGCGGUGAAAUGCGCAGAUAUCAGGAGGAACACCGAUGGCGAAGGCAGGUCUCUGGGCCGAUACUGACGCUGAGGAGCGAAAGCGUGGGGGAGCGAACAGG
rnacentral:rRNA from 1 species